GCAUGGUACUUUUGUGUGUCUGAUCAUUUUGCUUGCUGAAGAUUUUGGACAGUGUGAUGUGACCCUUGGUUCUAAUAGUUUAUUUGAGUCUAUUAUGGCAAUCCGUGACUAAAACUCACAAGUGAUUCUGUGUGUCUCUUUGUUUCAGCUAUGGAUUGGAGUCAGAGGUUGCAGCUCUUGCUCUUCUCACUCCUCUGUCUCACUGGCAGCUCCAAGGCAGUGGGAGAGCUCUGUGUGGACAACGGACGAGAGACUGAGCAGGUCUUUUCAGUUUCCGGUGAUGCUGCCAUGUUGACAUCCACCCUGGUGGACCUCAAUGGGUUCAACUAACGCAGCAUCCCCUAUAACAUCUCAUGGUAUGACCCAAGGACUGGGACAAAGCUGUCCAGGGUGAAAGGAAAGACUCUGGUGCGGGGGAAGACACUCUGGAUUUUUAACAUCACGAUGGAGGAUGCUGGAGACUAUGAGUGUGUUGUGAGACUACCCACCGAGUGCUAUAAGAAGGUGGCCUUACUGAUUGUGAACCACACCAACCCAGAAGAAUGCGGUCGACCAGAAAAGGCCCAACAGGUCCUGACCAACACAGCCACAUCUUUCCUGAACUGCCCAUUGAGUGACCAUGUCAGGGAAGUGGACAAUUACUCCAUCCAGUGGUACAAGGUGAGUCCAAUGGGGUAAACAGACAGUGCAGUGCAGUAAGAGAGUGUUGAGAGGGGACGCCUGACAGCAGGGGCGGAGUAGCCAUCUG
rnacentral:lncRNA from 8 species